rnacentral:rRNA from 1 species
AUUGAACGCUGGCGGCAUGCUUUACACAUGCAAGUCGAACGGCAGCACGGACUUCGGUCUGGUGGCGAGUGGCGAACGGGUGAGUAAUACAUCGGAACGUACCCAGUAAUGGGGGAUAACUAGUCGAAAGAUUAGCUAAUACCGCAUACGCCCUACGGGGGAAAGAGGGGGAUCGCAAGACCUCUUGUUAUUGGAGCGGCCGAUGGCUGAUUAGCUAGUUGGUGGGGUAAAGGCCUACCAAGGCGACGAUCAGUAGCGGGUCUUAGAGGACGAUCAGCCACACUGGAACUGAGACACGGUCCAGACUCCUACGGGAGGCAGCAGUGGGGAAUCUUGGACAAUGGGCGAAAGCCUGAUCCAGCAAUGCCGCGUGCGUGAAGAAGGCCUUCGGGUUGUAAAGCGCUUUUGUCUGGGAGCAAAUCCUUGUGGCUAAUACCCACCGGGGAUGAGAGUACCAGAAGAAUAAGGACCGGCUAACUACGUGCCAGCAGCCGCGGUAA